AUUUUUAUCAGUUUUCAAGUGAUUCAAGUGAAAAAAGUAACAGUGAUUGGGACUCAGAUGAUAGCAUAAAAGACAAGGAUUAUGUUGAAAGUGAAAAUGAAGAUAGUUCAUCGCCCUCCGAGCAGCAACAGGAAACCCCAAGAAAAAAGAGCCGUGACGAACUUCCUACCCCUGAAAAAGAAA
rnacentral:lncRNA from 1 species